UUCCGGUUGAUCCUGCCGGACCCGACUGCUAUCAGAGUAGGACUAAGCCAUGCGAGUCGACGUAGCAAUGCGUGGCGAACGGCUCAGUAACACGUAGUCAACAUGCCCAAGGGACGCGGAUAACCUCGGGAAACUGAGAAUAAACCACGAUAGGUCAUGAUUUCUGGAAUGGAUCAUGGCUCAAGUCUACAUGGCCCCUGGAUUGGACUGCGGCCGAUCAGGCAGUUGGUGAGGUAAAGGCCCACCAAACCUAUAACCGGUACGGGCUCUGAGAGGAGAAGCCCGGAGAUGGGCACUGAGACAAGGGCCCAGGCCCUAUGGGGCGCAGCAGGCGCGAAACCUCUGCAAUAGGCGAAAGCCUGACAGGGUUACUCUGAGUGAUUUCCGCUAAGGGGAUCUUUUGGCACCUCUAAAAAUGGUGCAGAAUAAGGGGUGGGCAAGUCUGGUGUCAGCCGCCGCGGUAAUACCAGCACCCCGAGUGGUCGGGACGAUUAUUGGGCCUAAAGCAUCCGCAGCCGGUUCUGCAAGUCUUCCGUUAAAUCCAGCCGCUCAACGGAUGGGCCGCGGAGGAUACUACAGGACUAGGAGGCGGGAGAGGCAAGCGGUACUCAGUGGGUAGGGGUAAAAUCCUUUGAUCCAUUGAAGACCACCAGUGGCGAAGGCGGCUUGCCAGAACGCGCUCGACGGUGAGGGAUGAAAGCUGGGGGAGCAAACCGGAUUAGAUACCCGGGUAGUCCAG
rnacentral:rRNA from 1 species